GACCCCAACGAUGGUGAACUAUGCCUGGGCAGGGCGAAGCCAGAGGAAACUCUGGUGGAGGUCCAUAGCGGUCCUGACGUGCAAAUCGGUAGUCCGACCUAGGUAUAGUGGUGAAAGACUAAUCAAACCAUCUAUUAGCUGG
rnacentral:rRNA from 1 species